rnacentral:rRNA from 1 species
UGGGGAAUCUUGCACAAUGGGGGCAACCCUGAUGCAGCGACGCCGCGUGAGCGAUGAAGCCCUUCGGGGCGUAAAGCUCUUUCGACCGGAACGAUAAUGACGGUACCGGGAGAAGAAGCUGCGGCUAACUACGUGCCAGCAGCCGCGGUAAUACGUAGGCAGCAAGCGUUGUUCGGAGUUACUGGGCGUAAAGAGUGCGUAGGCGGUCUUCUAAGUUCGGUGUGAAAUCUCCCGGCUUAACUGGGAGGGUGCGCCGAAGACUGGGAAGCUGGAGUGUGGGAAAGGCAGGCGGAAUUCCUGGUGUAGCGGUGAAAUGCGUAGAUAUCAGGAGGAACACCGGCGGUGUAGACGGCUUGCUAGACCAUAACUGACGCUGAGGCACGAAAGCGUGGGUAGCAAACA